rnacentral:lncRNA from 1 species
UCCAAAAGCUCUAGUGCCAACAGCUCCCCAAACAAGGUUGAUGUCUUUGUUGUCGUAAGUCUAGAUAUGUUGUAAAUAGAUGAUGCUGAGAUUUACCCUACUUUUGGAAUUGGCAUAAAUUUCCUCAUCUGUUAUAUUUUUUGGGCUAUAUUUACAUUUUCUGUCAUAAGAUUUGGUGGGAAUGGGAGUAAGAUUGAUGUUCUGACUUACUGUUCAUGGAUAGCCCUUACUUUGAAGGUUACCACCAAAAAAUUCACUUAUGGUCCACCACCAAACCAGCUUCCUACAAUAAGCAAGAUGAAUCUCUUUUUCAUCUGGUGAUUUUGCACCACCUGGGGAACUCGCACUUCAAACCGGAGGAAAGAAUGAAGUUCAGUUUCCUUUCUUCUCUUCUUUCCCACUCGCGGGAGCCCCCUUUUACUGGUACCAACUACCAUCCCUGAUUCUUUAGGGUUGUUCACCUCUUCUCAAUUUAGUUCAACAUUUUUCAUAUCCAAAAUUAACCGCUGAGCUUUCUUCCUCGAGACCGUUUGGAACUUCUUAGGUGCCAUAAAAAGCUUAAUUUUUUAAAUUUGCAAAGUAUAUUUUUCAUACACUAAUCAAUUUUGUAAUAUGGUGAG